GUGAACGCUAGCGGUGCGCCUAACACAUGCAAGUCGAGCGGUAGAGAAAUAUAGCUUGCUAUAUUUCUUGAGAGCGGCGAACGGGUGAGUAACACGUUGGUAUCUGCCCCCAAGUCAGGGAUAGCCAUUGGAAACGAUGAUUAAUACCGGAUAGUCUCUUCGGAGUAAAAUUUAUUGCUUGGGGAGGAGCCUGCGUUCUAUCAGCUAGUUGGUGAGGUAAUAGCUCACCAAGGCUAUGACGGAUAACUGGUCUGAGAGGAUGACCAGUCACAAUGAAACUGAGACACGGUUCAUACUCCUACGGGAGCAGCAGUGAGGAAUCUUCC
rnacentral:rRNA from 1 species